GCGCGGUUAGCUCAGCUGGUAGAGCAUCACAUUGACAUUGUGGGGGUCACAGGUUCAAGUCCUGUAUCGCGCA
rnacentral:tRNA from 1 species